rnacentral:rRNA from 1 species
CAAAUACAUCAUGCCCCUUAUGACCUGGGCUACACACGUGCUACAAUGGUUGGUACAACGAGUUGCGAGUCGGUGACGGCGAGCUAAUCUCUUAAAGCCAAUCUCAGUUCGGAUUGUAGGCUGCAACUCGCCUACAUGAAGUCGGAAUCGCUAGUAAUCGCGGAUCAGCACGCCGCGGUGAAUACGUUCCCGGGCCUU